GCGCAGCAGGCGCGAAAACUUCACACUGUGCGAAAAGCACGAUGAGGGAAUCCCAAGUGCUUGCACGUAAGUGUAAGCGUGUUUCUCUGUUUAAAACGCAGAGAGAGUAAGGGCUGGGUAAGACGGGUGCCAGCCGCCGCCGGUAAUACCUGCAGCUCAAGUGGUGACCGUUAUUAGUUGGGCCUAAAACGUCCGUAGCCGG
rnacentral:rRNA from 1 species